rnacentral:rRNA from 1 species
AUUGAACGCUGGCGGCAUGCUUUACACAUGCAAGUCGAACGGCAGCGCGGGCUUCGGCCUGGCGGCGAGUGGCGAACGGGUGAGUAAUGCAUCGGAACGUGCCCAGUAGUGGGGGAUAGCCCGGCGAAAGCCGGAUUAAUUCCGCAUACGACCUGAGGGUGAAAGCGGGGGACCGAAAGGCCUCGCGCUAUUGGAGCUGCCGAUGUCGGAUUAGCUAGUUGGUGGGGUAAAGGCUUACCAAGGCGACGAUCCGUAGCUGGUCUGAGAGGACGACCAGCCACACUGGGACUGAGACACGGCCCAGACUCCUACGGGAGGCAGCAGUGGGGAAUUUUGAACAAUGGGGGCAACCCUGAUCCAGCCAUGCCGCGUGCGGGAAGAAGGCCUUCGGGUUGUAAACCGCUUUUGUUCGGGAAGAAAUCCUCUGGGCUAAUACCCCGGGGGGAUGACGGUACCGGAAGAAUAAGCACCGGCUAACUACGUG